AUUAGAAUAUUUUAAACGUAUAGCCGGUUGGCUAUACUUUCUAAAUACAUUCGAAUAUUUUAAAAGUAUAGCCAUUCGGCUAUACGCUUGAAAUGUUAAUAU
rnacentral:miRNA from 1 species